rnacentral:rRNA from 1 species
AUGAAGAGAGGCCACGAGCGGUCGGACGGCAAGCUCCACGCGGCGUCGACAGAGAAGCGCCACAAGUGCGACGACAAUAGUUGGACGGCCGUCGCCGCGUAUGCAUCGGUGGCGGGGACGAAGCGAGCCUACCAGCGAUCCGAGGAUUCAUUUGACUUGUCCACAGAUAAAAGGUACAAGUGCAACUACUGGGAGGACCCUGCUAGCGCGCUGAUCCUGGAGCUCCGCGGGGGAAGGAAAUCCAGCGGCGCUGCUCGCAGCAAUAUGAUUUGGCGCACCCUCAAGGAGAUCGACGACUGGUGCGACGAGCUUCAGGCGGCGCGCGAAAGCAAGAUGUAA